rnacentral:rRNA from 1 species
GAUGAACGCUGGCGGCGUGCUUAACACACGCAAGUCGAACGGAAAGGCUCCUGCUUGCAGGGGUACUCGAGUGGCGAACGGGUGAGUAACACGUGGGUGAUCUGCCCUGCACUUCGGGAUAAGCCUGGGAAACUGGGUCUAAUACCGGAUAGGACGAUGGUUUGGAUGCCAUUGUGGAAAGUUUUUCGGUGUGGGAUGAGCUCGCGGCCUAUCAGCUUGUUGGUGGGGUAAUGGCCUACCAAGGCGUCGACGGGUAGCCGGCCUGAGAGGGUGUACGGCCACAUUGGGACUGAGAUACGGCCCAGACUCCUACGGGAGGCAGCAGUGGGGAAUAUUGCACAAUGGGCGCAAGCCUGAUGCAGCGACGCCGCGUGGGGGAUGACGGCCUUCGGGUUGUAAACUCCUUUCGCUAGGGACGAAGCGCAAGUGACGGUACCUGGAGAAGAAGCACCGGCUAACUACGUG